CAUCGACCAUGUACGCAUGCACGCGUACUCGAGCGCACGCACGCACGAGCAUAUCUUUGUUUUCUUCAAGACGCACGUAGAGGUCGUCUUGUGGAGUGCACGCCUUCUAACAAGCGGGGGCACACCACCAGCACCACCACCGCCGCCGCCACCCCUCUGAUCGCACCUCUGAGUGAUCACUUGGGCGUGAGUGUGAGGGUGCGCGUGCGUCCCUCGUUGUGGCGCCUCCGCCUCGCCGCACCCUUCCCUGUCUCUUUUCUCGAUGUCGCGUACCUUCGUCGAAGACAACGGCUGCGAGCGCCCGAGCAGCGCCGGACAGCGGGUGUACGUGAACAACAUGAACACGCUGCAAGCCACCACCUCCCUGCCGGAGCGGACGCCGUACAGCCUACUUGAGCGCAACACGGAAGCCCCUGGCUCGUCGACCGCCAACUACGUCGGCUCUCGUCUUGCGCCUAUCAGCUCCCCUCGCAGCGGGCGGGGCCCCGACGGAGCGGCAGGCGAACUGCAGCAAAGUCGACCGGCGCAGCGCGCCUUCGCGGGUAGCGGGAGCGCGGUAGAGCAGCGGCGCGGCGCGGAGCCUCUCACCGCCAACGGCGAGGCAGUGCACGCAAACUUGCAAGACGUCUACAGCCGCAUCAUGCGGCGGCUGCAGCGUCAGAUGAACUACGCUGAAGUGUCCCGCGCUUCUCUGGCGGAGCAGUACGGCGUAGACCUGCAGAUGGCGUAUGAGGAGGACCAGCAGGAGCUGAAGGCAGCGGACACGGCGCCUCAGCGAACCACAAAGCAUCGUUGCCGCACCUCGCCGUCCCGCCCGCCGGCCUCGACCUCCUCCUCUCCCAUUCACCCAGUCCCCUGUGAGAGCGAGGCGAACACCGUUAGUCGGCCAAGCCCCCGCCUUUUCACAGGCUGCCACGUGAGCACAAAUACCACCAAGGUACCUGAGUACGACUCACCGGGGCCACGGGGCGAAACCCCCAUCUCAGCACGCGCCGGCGGUAGAAGUUCUUCGCGGCUGAUUCAAUUUAAGGUGGACGUCAGCUCACGCACCUCCGGCGCCGUGGGCGGCAUUGCCGCACCGGCGGCGAUGGACAUGAGCGAUGCGUCGGGUGCUGCGGCACCGGCGGCGGAGGAGAGCAGGCUGGAGCGCGACAUCGCCGCGCAGCCCUGCCCCCUCCCAUUGCGGCUCGUCAUUCAGCAUGUGUUGGACACCUUGCAGAAGAAGAUGUCACUCGCCGAGGGUGGAUCGCUUAAGGACUGCAUCGUCUUCUCCUUCGAGUCGCGCGCGUUGCUGGACCGGCUUCUGAAGGAAAUUCCGCUCUACUCGCAGUACAGCGUGAGCCAAGACACGGCGGCAGUGGCAGGGGCCGCCCAGCAGGACAUGGCGCUUGUGUAUCAGAAGCUUCGCCAGAAGCCGGUGUUGCUGCCUCGCGCCGGCUACGUGGAGGACCCUGUCACCGGCGCGAUACACGGGCAGAUCUUGGGCGGAGGUGCCGUACAGAGCGAGUCCGUGCGCGCUUCAGCAGUGGCCGCUCCGACUGCCGCCGUAUCACUUCCCGCUAUCGUCAACGCGUCGAGGAGCUUCAAUCCCGGCGGCGCCGCGCCACUUGGCGCCCUCACAGUCGGCACAGGUGCGAUGAGUGGUGGCGUGCAGCUGCCGUCUGGCUACGGCAAGUCGUCACGGCUCAACGAUGCGACGCUGCAGAGCGGGGCCGCGGCUGGAUACGGCGACCGUCAGCACCAGCAUCAGUUGCUGCGGGAUCACAUGAAAGGGGGCAGCGGUGCUGGCGGUGGAAGCUCCGCAUCCAUAAGUGAUGCUGUAUCCGCGCAGAACUCAGUCACGGCGAUGAUGGAGUCUGCCGUGGCAUCGGUGGCGUCGCCACCGGUGUUUGAGGCUGCUCAUCGCGCGACGCGCCUUGUGAGCGUUGGCACCGUGACCGAGGAAAACAAUCUAACCACGGUGCCGAAAGCCGACUACGCGGCAUUGCAGCAGCGGAUGGAGGCGCUUGAGGUGCAGCUGGCUGAUGCGCAGAUGCACCGCAGCGCCCUUGCUGAUCAGCUGUGCGAGGAGCUGCAGUACACCGAGAAGAAGAAGCGCGUGCUGCAGUACUUGCGAGAGACACUCGUGCGGGAGUGCACCAUGCUCCGCUCCCAGUUGCGCUUGGCAUCAGGGCGGGUGCAGCUGCUGCAACAGCAACAGCACUCGCCGCCCCAGCCCCUCCGCGGGGUGAUGGUCUCCUCUGGCGCCAACGACGCGCAUAGCGAGGGCCCCAACGCCUCCGUCUUCGGCGCCACCACGCGCAUGUACAAGCAGCUGGGCGCGAGUACCGUGUCGCCCAUGACGCUAUCACUAUCUGCAGAUGUGCAUGGGCAGCAGCACCGCCGAUAUUCGCAGCGGCCUUUAACACACCGUAUGAGCUUCAGCGAAAGUAUUGGGAGUGUUUACGGCGGUACCAGCGGUUGUGGUCGUGGGCGAUUGGCGACGAUGCAGCGGCACACGAGCGGCGGAUGCACCUCUCUCGGCGCGAGCCUCUCAGCCGCUCCGCCGGGAGUAAGUGUCUCUGCUACAGGUAUCUCUUCCUUCACCGUCGUCGGCAGCUGCGUUGCUACUGGAGUGACGGCGGAUGGCCAGCAGCCAAACGACCUGGAGGCGGUACAAAGUCUUCUAGACCUGGUGCUGCUUGCCGUCGAGGAGGAUGCGGUGCUGCCCUCGCACACGCUGCAGAUGGUGCGCAGCGGGCACGCGGACGUUGAGGCGGUCAAAAACGCUUUUAGCAAGGAUGAGAAACGGCAGCUCGAUGAGCUGCGCAACAAGUACGACGAGCGGCAGUACGCGGUGAAGAAGAGCAUGAUCAUGCGCACCGCUGAGCAUAACUACCUCAUCGCGGAGCAGAAGCACGAGGUGCAACGGCUGCAGGCACUGACAGACACGACGCGGGUUCGCGCCAUCCUUCAGCAACACGUCUCCGACCUCCGCACGGAGCUGCAGCAGAUGCGCAUGUACAUUACGGAGCAGAUUCAUUUCUUUAAGACGGUCAUACAGAACACGGCGCAGAGCCUGCUCCGUCGCUCCGUUCUUGCGGAUAAGACGCUCAGCGAGAACCUGAUCCUCACCAACGUCGUCAGCGCCUCGCGGGAGAUGGUCGAGUCGGCCGGCGCGCUGUUCAUGCCGAUGCUCACGAACGAGUACUGCUGCGGCUAUCACCCAUGGCCGCUGAAGCUGCGCAACACCACCGACCCUCUUGCCCACAUCAUCCACCUUCGCUACGGUGCCGGCGAGGUGAUCCGCCUGCGCGACUCGCUCAACGUUUUCGCCCAGCUGUACGGCGCACUGCACCGCUACAUUCUGCGCCAGAUAGUCUUGCCUGAUAGCACACGUCCGUCGGCCGGCAAGCCUCUGCAGCACCUUUGUGCGGCGCUGGCGCUGAACCCCAUGAGCCACACGGAGGUCGUCUUCGCCGUUCGCCACGCGUACGACACGGAGAUGCAGCUGUGCAAGCGACUCGCGCGGUACAACCUGCGACUCAUGUGGAACGCGUAUCUGCAGCGCGUCUACACCAAUCGCUCUGUCGCGGCCCUCGCCGAAGCUUGCCUGAACCCGCGGCUAGCAGCACUGCCAGUCGCAGGUCGCAUCAACGUCCUGGCUAAGGAGCGGGCGGCGCUGCUUCAGGAGCGUGUGAAGGUGCAGCGAGAACGCGCCGAAAACGCGAAGAGCACGUAUCGCUUGUGGCAGGAGAAGGAGAUCGAUAUCAUGGAGGGCUAUCCAACGCCGCAGACGCAGCGCAAUCGACUCGCACUGCUGACCGGCGAUGCCGCUGGUGGCAGCAAUGCCAUGGGUGUUGACGUGGGCGGCAACGCGCUGGGCGGCGCGAUGCAGGGCCACUCUAGCAUGGCUACUAUGGGGCACUUUUCAAGGGCGCUCGGCCGCACCACCACGGACCGCAGCGAAGGCGCCGGAGCGGUAGCCAUGUAAAAUGGACGCGCGUGGGGGGAAAGGGUCAGACCGCGGUCAAGUAUGAUCUAGUGGUAUCGCAGGUGCCGUUGGUGCCAUGCCCCCCCCCCGCCCAGUAUUUCUGGGAAACCUUCUCCCCUGCCCCACACCCCCACCGGUGGCACGUGUCGUGUCGUGUAUAUGUGCGUGCUCUUGCGCUGAGGUUGCCCUUCUGCGGCCCGCUUCCAGCCGCAGCCGUGCACCUGCCCUUUCCCUUUCUCCCUUGUGCGUGGUCAUGAUCAUCGUCCUCGCUGUCGCUACUCUUGUUCGUGUGAGACUUUCUCACGAUGAUGGCACCAACAGCAGCCGACCAUUCGAAGCAUGGCAAUAGCUGAUGCCAAGGAUGUAUAUUAGGAGCAUCAGCUCCGCGUCUGUGUGUAUGUGUGUGUGUGUGUGUGUUAUUGUGUCGCUGCAGCUUCCCCCCCCCGUCUCUUUAUGUCUUCUCUGCGACGGUCUUGAGGGAACGCCUCUAAUGCACACGUGCGCACAAAAGCGGGUCCGGCGCGAGCUGCCCGCCCACCCCACUGCCCCCCCUUCCCCCAUCCAAACACAUGCAUGGCAAGCCCCGCCCUCCAGCAAGACAGUGUUUCAGAGACGUCUCCGCGAUGCGGCCAACUCUCUCCCGUCUGCGCGACGCGGACCAUCACCUGGCGCGCUGCAUCGGAAUGUGUGUGUGUGUGUGUGUGUGUGUGUGCGGAUCAGACGUGGCAGUUCGAUGCGGCUACCCGUUCACCAUAUGAUGAGGCGCUUCCUCCUCCGCCAUUUUGCUCUCCCUCGCGACGUUACCGCCGCCCUCUUCACCAGCGCGCCAGAAGAAGCUCCGCCGCCCGCCAUCCACCUCCUCUCCCUUUAUCGUAG
rnacentral:misc_RNA from 1 species